UGGGGAAUAUUGCGCAAUGGGCGGAAGCCUGACGCAGCGACGCCGCGUGGGGGAUGACGGCCUUCGGGUUGUAAACCUCUUUCGGCCCCGACGAAGCGUGAGUGACGGUAGGGGUAGAAGAAGCACCGGCCAACUACGUGCCAGCAGCCGCGGUAACACGUAGGGUGCGAGCGUUGUCCGGAAUUAUUGGGCGUAAAGAGCUCGUAGGCGGUGUGUCGCGUCGGCCGUGAAAACCUGCAGCUUAACUGUGGGCUUGCGGUCGAUACGGGCAUCACUGGAGUUCGGCAGGGGAGACUGGAAUUCCUGGUGUAGCGGUGAAAUGCGCAGAUAUCAGGAGGAACACCGGUGGCGAAGGCGGGUCUCUGGGCCGAUACUGACGCUGAGGAGCGAAAGCGUGGGGAGCGAACA
rnacentral:rRNA from 1 species